UAUCCCAUUUUAGUACCGUCCAUUCGCAUCACAAUGAAUGGGCGGCUAUGCAAAUGGGGCAGAGAAACACUGUCAUGGUCUGAAGGUGUGGUUGCAGAUUGUUCGUGCGCCCCACUCAAUAAAUUGACAGAACAUGUAUCU